rnacentral:rRNA from 1 species
AUGAACGCUGGCGGCGUGCCUAAUACAUGCAAGUCGAGCGAACAGACGAGGAGCUUGCUCCUCUGACGUUAGCGGCGGACGGGUGAGUAACACGUGGAUAACCUACCUAUAAGACUGGGAUAACUUCGGGAAACCGGAGCUAAUACCGGAUAAUAUAUUGAACCGCAUGGUUCAAUAGUGAAAGACGGUUUUGCUGUCACUUAUAGAUGGAUCCGCGCCGCAUUAGCUAGUUGGUAAGGUAACGGCUUACCAAGGCAACGAUGCGUAGCCGACCUGAGAGGGUGAUCGGCCACACUGGAACUGAGACACGGUCCAGACUACUACGGGAGGCAGCAGUAGGGAAUCUUCCGCAAUGGGCGAAAGCCUGACGGAGCAACGCCGCGUGAGUGAUGAAGGUCUUCGGAUCGUAAAACUCUGUUAUUAGGGAAGAACAAAUGUGUAAGUAACUAUGCACGUCUUGACGGUACCUAAUCAGAGAGCCACGGCUAACUACGUG